GAUAUUAGUUCAGUGCAGACACGGUGACUCGUGCUACUAGGCAAGGUCUGUCACCAUCAGAAACUCGUCGAUAGCCACCGUACUGCCACCCAAGCUAGUUAGUCAUUGACGCGGCGUCGCCCAAGCUCUAUAGUCCACAGCCUAAUUUGCAAUGGAAAAUUUUCAAAAUGAGAGUGUACAGGAGGAUAUUGAUGAUAUUGCUCUCUGUGGAAAUUUGUUACUAAGAUUGAAAAGGGGAACCUGGGAGGAAAUGUUACUUAGUCAUGUAAUAUUUAUACUAAAGUGUGCAAAGGAUUGCUAGUUGUGCGGCUAUUACAAUAGAUCAAAUAAAGCAUAUGCAACAACUUAUGGAUGAUGCAGAAUUGAGAAAGAAGAAUGCUCAACUGAAAGAAGUGCAUUCCUUCAUCAUCGAACAUGUUUUCAAAAAUGUCAUGCAGUAGUAAUUUUUCUUUGCAAAGUGAUGAUCUAACAAAGAAGAGAAAAGGAACUCUUGACUCUCUUGAAAAAGCUUUUAACUUGAAUGCUAGAGAUGAGCUGCAUUCUGAAAUUGCGAGGUUGUUUUACACCGGGGGAUUAUCUUUCAAUAUUGCUAUUAAUCCUCAUUAUGUUUGUGCCUUCAGAAUGACUACAGAAUGGCUAUUCAACGAACGCUUCCAGGUUAUCUUCAACCAAGAUACAAUUUAUUGAGAACUACACUCCUUCAAAGAGAAAAGACUCAUAUUGAAAAGAUGUUGAAGCCAACAAAAGCUGCAUGGAAACAAAAGGGUGUUAGCAUUUGUAGUGAUGGGCGGUCAGAUGUACAAAGAAAACCGCUUAUCAAUAUCAUAGUCGUGUGUGAAAGUGGUCUUAUGUUUUUGAAGGCAAUAAAUUGUGAAGGUGAGUACAAGGAUAAAGUUUUCAUCUCUAAGUUGCUCAUUGACGCCAUAAAUGAAGAGGGGCAUCAAAAUGUUGUCCAAGUGGUCAGUGAUAAUGCUACCGUAUGCAAAGUCGUGGGGUUACUCGUUGAGGCAAAGUCCCACACAUAUUUUGGACAUCUUGUGUUGUUCACACUUUGAAUCUUGCCUUGAAGAAUAUUUGUGCACCGACUGACUCUACACAAAACAAAGAAGCCUUUAAAGAAUACAAGUGGAUGACAAAAGUACAAGUGAUGCUUUAAUGAUCAAGAAUUUUAUAAUGAAUCACAAUAUGUGAUUAUCAAUGUUCAACGAUAACUUCAACUUGAAGAUGUUCUCACUUGCGGAUACUCGAUUUGCUUCCACAAUCAUUAUGCUUAAAAGGUUCAGGCAAAUGAAGAAAUGUCUUGAAACCACGGUUAUUAGUGAAAGAUGGGAUCUGUACAAGGAGGUGGAUGCGGUGAAGGUUAGAUCAGUGAAAGUAUAAAAUAUCGGAAGGCCAACUAUAGGAAAAAAUUGAUUAUAUACUUUCUUUCACAAAUCUGAUUUAUAAGAUGCUAAGGAAAGGAGACACUGAUCAACCUUGUCUUCAUUUAGUCUAUGAGUGGUGGGAUGAAAUAAUAGAGAAGAUGAGGGUUGCUAUCUCGAAGGGGCCUCACAUAGGGGAUUCAAAGUUUUAUGAGGUUGUUCAUGAUGUUCUGAUGGAGCAUUGGAAUAAAAGAAACAUGCCUCUACAAUGUUUGGCGCAUUCUUUGAAUCCAAGGUAUUAUAGCAAUGAGUGACUCCAAGAAUCUCCCAACCGUCUUCCUCCUCAUAGGGACAUCAAAGUAUCAAGGGAAAAGAAAAAGUGUAUUGAAAGAUAUUACUCUAAUUCAUUAGAACGAAGAAGUGUCAAUUAGGAGUUUGCCUCUUUUUUAGCCGCCAUUGAUGAUUUUUCUAAUAAUGACAGAAGGCGCGAUCGAGGUUUGAUGUCUCCAACUAAGUAAUGAGUUAUCCAUGCUUCUUCUGCACCAACCCUUCAAAAUUUAGCUUUAAAGCUACUUGGGCAACCUCCUUCUUCUUCUUGUGAGAGAAAUUGAAGCACCUACAAUUUCAUACACUCAUUGAAGAGGAAUAAAAUAACACCAUAAAGAGCGAAAGAACUACAAUCUUUGUCUUUUAUCUAAGAGAAGCCCACAUUAUAAUAAAGGAGAAAGUAAGAUGUGGGAUGUCGGAGCAUGCAUUUGAUUCCAUGGACAGAGGGAGUUACUAUCCUUGAACGAACCUGAAUUGGAGGU